UNUUAAAAGUUCGGGGCUUAACCCCGUGAUGGGAUGGAAACUGCUGAUCUAGAGUAUNGGAGAGGAAAGUGGAAUUCCUAGUGUAGCGGUGAAAUGCGUAGAUAUUAGGAAGAACACCAGUGGCGAAGGCGACUUUCUGGACGAAACCUGACGCUGAGGCGCGAAAGCCAGGGGAGCGAACGGGAUUAGAUACCCCGGUAGUCUUGGCCGUAAACGAUGGGUACUAGGUGUAGGAGGUAUCGACCCCUUCUGUGCCGGAGUUAACGCAAUAAGUACCCCGCCUGGGGAGUACGACCGCAAGGUUGAAACUCAAAGGAAUUGACGGGGGCCCGCACAAGCGGUGGAGUAUGUGGUUUAAUUCGACGCAACGCGAAGAACCUUACCAGGUCUUGACAUUGAUGGACAGAACCAGAGAUGGUUCCUCUUCUUCGGAAGCCAGAAAACAGGUGGUGCACGGUUGUCGUCAGCUCGUGUCGUGAGAUGUUGGGAUAAGUCCCGCAACGAGCGCAACCCCUAUCUUAUGUUGCCAGCACUUCGGGUGGGAACUCAUGAGAGACUGCCGCAGACAAUGCGGAGGAAGGCGGGGAUGACGUCAAAUCAUCAUGCCCCUUAUGACCUGGGCUACACACGUACUACAAUGGGAGUUAAUAGACGGAAGCGAGAUCGCGAGAUGGAGCAAACCCGAGAAACACUCUCUCAGUUCGGAUCGUAGGCUGCAACUCGCCUACGUGAAGUCGGAAUCGCUAGUAAUCGCAGGUCAGCAUACUGCGGUGAAUACGUUCCCGGGCCUUGUACACACCGCCCGUCACACCACGAAAGUCGGAAGUGCCCAAAGCCGGUGGGGUAACCUUCGGGAGCCAGCCGUC
rnacentral:rRNA from 1 species